rnacentral:rRNA from 1 species
GACAGAGGCCUCGAGCGUUAGGCGGAAUCACUGGGCUUAAAGCGUGUGUAGGCGGAUCGUUAAGUACCUUGUGAAAUCCCACGGCUCAACCGUGGAACGGCUGGGUAUACUGGCGGUCUUGGGCCAUUCAGGGGCGACUGGAACAAGCGGUGGAGCGGUGAAAUGCGUAGAUAUCGCUUGGAACGCCGAAGGUGAAAACAGGUCGCUGGGACGUGACUGACGCUGAGGAGCGAAAGCGUGGGGAGCGAACAGG